GGCUUAUUGAUAAUAAUUUUAAGUCUAUCUGCCCAAUGAUUUUUAAAUUUAAUGGCUGCAGUAUAACUAACUGUACAAAGGUAGCAUAAUCAAUUGUUUUUUAAUUGAGAACUAGAAUGAAAGAAUUAAUGAGAUAUAUUCUGUCUCAUAUGUAUAAAAUGAAAUUAAAUUUUUAGUAAAAAUGCUAAAAUUUAUUUAUGGGACGAUAAGACCCUAUAGAAUUUUAUAUUUACAUUUAAAAUUAAAAUAUAUUUUAAAUUUAAAUAUUUGAUUGGGAGGAUUAAUAAAUUUAAAAAACUUUAUUUUAAAUAUAACCUUUAAUUGAAGAAUAAUUUUUGAUCUUUUUUUAGGAAUUAAAAGAAAAAAUUACCUUAGGGAUAACAGCGUAAUAUCUUUUUAAAGAUCAUAUUAAUAAAGAUGAUUGCGACCUCGAUGUUGAAUUAAGAUAAAUUUUAAAUGAAGAAGUUUAAUAAUUAAGUCUGUUCGACUUUUAAAAUCUUACAUGAUUUGAGUUCAAAUCGACGUGAGU
rnacentral:rRNA from 1 species